rnacentral:tRNA from 1 species
UGGCAGUUAGUUUAAUACAAAACAAGUGAUUUCGACUCACUAAAUUAUGAACACUCAUAACUUCCA